UACGUAGGGGGCAAGCGUUGUUCGGAUUCAUUGGGCGUAAAGGGUGCGUAGGCGGUGUCGUAAGUCGGAUGUGAAAUCCCGGGGCUUAACUUCGGAACUGCAUUCGAUACUGCGAUGCUCGAGGACUGGAGAGGAGACUGGAAUAGUCGGUGUAGCGGUGAAAUGCGUAGAGAUCGACUAGAACACCGGUGGCGAAGGCGAGUCUCUGGACAGUUCCUGACGCUCAGGCACGAAAGCCAGGGGAGCAAACGGG
rnacentral:rRNA from 1 species